GGCCUACCUGGUGGGGCUGUUCGAGG
rnacentral:piRNA from 1 species